rnacentral:rRNA from 1 species
CUAGGGGUGCUUCAUUAGGAAGAAUCUGGAGACAGGUGCUGCAUGGCUGUCGUCAGCUCGUGUCGUGAGAUGUUGGGUUAAGUCCCGCAACGAGCGCAACCCUUGCCUUUAGUUGCCAGCAGUUCGGCUGGGCACUCUAAAGGGACUGCCGGUGUUAAACCGGAGGAAGGUGGGGAUGACGUCAAGUCCUCAUGGCCUUUAUGACCAGGGCUACACACGUACUACAAUGGCCGAUACAAAGGGCAGCGACACUGCGAAGUGAAGCCAAUCCCGUAAAAUCGGUCUCAGUCCGGAUUGGAGUCUGAAACCCGACUCCAUGAAGGUGGAAUCGCUAGUAAUCGCGCAUCAGCAUGGCCGCGGUCCGAAUACGUUCCCGGGCCUU